rnacentral:rRNA from 1 species
UACAGAGGUCCCGAGCGUUGUUCGGAUUCACUGGGCGUAAAGGGUGCGUAGGUGGCGGGGUAAGUUUGAUGUGAAAUCUCCGGGCUUAACCCGGAAAAGGCAUUGAAUACUACUGUGCUGGAGGUUUGGAGGGGGGACUGGAAUUCUUGGUGUAGCAGUGAAAUGCGUAGAUAUCAAGAGGAACACCAGUGGCGAAGGCGAGUCCCUGGACAACACCUGACACUGAGGCACGAAAGCUAGGGGAGCAAACAGG